UACGGAGGGGGCAAGCGUUGUUCGGAAUUACUGGGCGUAAAGGGCGCGUAGGUGGCCUGUUAAGUCGAACGUGAAAUCCCUGGGCUCAACCCAGGAACUGCGUCCGAUACUGGCAGGCUUGAAUCCGGGAGAGGGAUGCGGAAUUCCAGGUGUAGCGGUGAAAUGCGUAGAUAUCUGGAGGAACACCGGUGGCGAAGGCGGCAACCUGGACCGGCAUUGACACUGAGGCGCGAAAGCCAGGGGAGCAAACGGG
rnacentral:rRNA from 1 species